UCUCUCAAAAUAAAUAAACAUUAAAAAAAAUAAAAAGGUAAAACUUAACCCUGAAUCAAGAGUAGAUUUCAGGCCGGGGAAGGUGAGGGGGCGGGGUCCACCACAAACAACCCUGACCUACUUAACUGUUCUGCCUGCCACCUGUCCUGCCCCAGGCACAAGGCACUCUCCAAGAGGCAGUUCUCACCUGACUGGAUUUCUGGGCCCGGUGCCUGCACCAGGAAACAGCUUUUGAGGACCUCUGGGAGCCAAGGAAAGCACUUGUAGCUUGAAGAGUGAAAACAUAAAUAGAAUGUGACCCUAACUUGAAAAACAUGAAUUCGAUCGCUUCUCA